GAUGCAGGGACCUCUUCUGGCCGGGCCACUGAUCCAAGAUUUUGAUUCCAGGUACCACACGGGCUCCUUAGCUUUUGGCUCCCUUAUCUUAGCCAUCGUGCAGAUCAUCCGAGUGAUGCUGGAAUACCUGGACCAGCGCCUAAAAGGUGCCGCCCUUCCUGUAGCUUCAGCCAGGGUCUGGACUUAGUCCCUGAUUGGGUGUUGCUUGAGGGGUGGGGCCGGAGCUAUGCCUCUCCUGGGUUUCCCUUUGUGAAGGGGUGGGGCUGAGUGGCAGAGGAGCAGGUGGAAGAGCCAACUGAAGGCAGGCAUGGUGGCACAGGCCUUUAAUCCCAGUAUUCCAGAGUCAAGCAGACCUUUUGUGAGAGUUGGAGGCCAGCCUGGCCUACAGAGCGAGUUCUAGGACAGCCAGAGCAAUGAAGUGAACCCCUGAGAAGAGUGAACUGAGUUGCUCAGAGUUCUGGGUGUCUAGGGGCGGGGUGGAUCCAGGAAGGGCAGCUCUGACUAACAAAGCUGUCUUGUUUUGAGGCAGCUUUUUACUAAGUAGGCCUAGCUGACCUGAAACUCUGAUAUGAGAUCCACCUGCCUCUGUUUCUGAGUGCUUGGAUUGAAGGUAUACAUCACUGCUCCUGUUUUGUUUUAAAAGGCUGGCAUCCAAACUCACUAAACUGCCAAGGAUGGCCUUAAUUCCUGAUCCUGAGCAAUUACUUUUGUGGGUUACUUUUGUGGAUUGAUUAAUUUACUUACACUGAGGCAGACUCACUUAGUUGUUGAGGCUGGCCUAGUAGUAGUUCUGGCAAGCCUCAGACUUUGCAAUCCUUAGCUGUCUUGCUGGAGCUUGGUGUCUCAUUCAAAUGAAGCCCAUCUCAUGCCAUCCUUUCAUCCCUUCCAUUCUCUUUCAGCUGCACAGAACAAGUUUGCCAAGUUCCUCAUGGUCUGUCUCAAGUGCUGCUUCUGGUGCCUAGAGAAGUUUAUCAAAUUCCUGAAUAGGAAUGCCUACAUCAUGGUGAACAGCAGGGCUGUAUUGCUGCCCUGGGUGGGAGGAUUCCCCAUCUCCAUCCCGUGGGCCUCAAACCUUCUUCUGUUCACUCCAGAUUGCUAUCUAUGGCACCAACUUCUGUACCUCAGCCAGGAAUGCCUUCUUCCUGCUUAUGAGAAAUAUCAUCAGGUUAGCAGGACACACCUCCACCCCCCAGCCUCCCUGUCCCAUCUCACCUUUCCCAGCCCCCCUUUGCCCUAGCCCUCUUUCUGAACCAGCCUUCCACUUACUGUGCCUCCCCUCCCACCUCCACCCUCUCCCAGGCUCUGAACCCACGCUCACACCGCUCCCUUCACUCUCCCCUACAGGGUGGCCGUCCUGGACAAAGUUACAGACUUCCUCUUCCUGUUGGGCAAACUUCUGAUUGUGGGUAGUGUGGGUGAGUGAUGCCACCAGGCCUGUCUAUACUGACAUCUGGGAGCCUGUUGGGAGUGACCUGUAAGCUGGUGUCAGGCUCAGGUAGUCUUCUGUGAAGUCCUUCCUUGAAGACUCAGCCUUGUCCCCUCAUCCCAACACAGGCAUCCUGGCCUUCUUCUUCUUCACCCAUCGGAUCAGAAUUGUGCAAGAUACAGCCCCACCUCUCAAUUAUUACUGGGUUCCGAUCCUGGUGAGCACCUUUGGGGACAGACCAGGGUCUGGGUAGAAGCGGGGGGUUGAAGGUAGGGGUCGGGAAUUGCGCAGAUUCCUUUGGUGACGGUUGGGGGUGGCACAGUCAUUGGUUAUUUGGUCCCUAAAUAUUUACUGAAUACCUGCUGAAGGCACAGGGAUGGAGGGACUUUUCCUUAGGGACUAGAGUUACUGCCGUUUACAUUUGUUUAUUGUGUUUGUGCUGGGUAGAUGCACUUGUGGAAAGGCAAAAACACUUAGACACUUGUAGGAAGUGGUUCUCUUCUCCUUCUAUGUUUUAGGGGUUGGAUUCAGGUCAUCUGGCUUGGUGGUGUCUUCAUCCACCAAGCCAUCUUGCCAGCCCUAAUAAUAAUUAUAUAUACACAUAUAUAAUAUAUAUUACAUAUAAUUAAUAAUAUAUUAUUAAUAAUAGGUCUUAUUAUCACUCUUACUAUUAUUGUAGAAAAAUGUUAUUUUGUUAUUUAGGUUUCUUUCCCAUUUUGUUUCGUUUGUUUUUUGAGACAAGGUUUCUCUGUGUAGCCCUGCCUGACCUGGAGCUGGCUCUGUUGACCAGGCUGGCCUCCAGUUAACAGAGAUCCACCUCCCUUUGCCUCCCAAGUGCUGGGAUUACAGGAGUGGGCCACCACAGCCCUGCUCUUUUCUUGUUUUUUUGAGACAGGGUUUGUCUACAUAACUCUGGCUAACCUGGAGCUCACCAUGUAGACCAGGCUGUCCUCAGACUCAGUGGUUUUGUUUUUUAUUUUGAGACAAAAGUCUCUCUAUGUAGCCUUGGCUGACUUGAAACUGAUUAUGUAGACCAGGCUAGCCUCAGACUCAGACAUCUGCCUACUCCAGCCUCUUUAGUGCUGAAAUUAAAGGUGUGUACCUUUAAUUAUCUCUAUUUAUUAGCUUUUAUUUUAUAUGUAUUGGUGUUUUGCCUGCCUGUGUGUCUGUGUACCACAUGCAUGCAUGAUGCCCGUGGUGGCCAAAAGAGGGCAUCAAAUUCUCUGGGCCUGGGAUGUGGGAUUACAAAUGUUUGUAAGCUGCCAUUCGGGCCCUGAGAAUUAACCCCCGGUUCUCUGGAAGAGCAGCCAGUACGCUUGUCUGCUAAGCCAACUCUCCAAAACUCUCCUCUUUGCCUUUUUUCCUUGACUGACACCCAGGCCAACAUAGAACUUUUGAUCUUUUUGCCUACCAAGCCCUGGGAUUGUGCCACAUUGUGUCACCACAGAAAAAGCCUUGCAGGUUAGAUGCGUUGGACAUUAUCCAAUGAUGAUGCUGACGGCACACACCUACCAUCUCAACACUAGGAAGAACAGGCAGAAGAAUCAGAAAUAGAAUAGUAAAUUCAGGGCCAAUUCUAGCUACAGAAUUCUCUAUCUAAAAAAAAAAAAAAAAAACAAAACAAAACAAAAAACAGGCAGGCAGUGGUGGCUCAUGCCUUUAAUCCCAGCGUUUGACAAAGCAAGUUCCAGGACAGAGAAACCCUGUCUUGAAAAAUCUUAAGAAAAAGAAAGUAUGGAAUGACUAGGCAAAGGGGAAUAGCAGAGAGCCUGAGGUCUGGAUCUCUUUAUUUCCUGGUAGUGUCUCCUACCCUGGUUUUGGCUAGUCCAGGUGGCCAGUUUGCCCUGGGGCUGCUAUCGUCAGUCUCAAGUGCUGGGAUUACAGGAGGCCGCCUCACUCACCUGAUGCUUGCAUGGGUUCAGAGAGUCUGUCUCAGGUCCCCAGGUUUGCACAGCAAAUGCUUAUCCACUGACCAUCUCUCAUGUGCCCCAGGCAGUCCUGGCACCUGCUGUAUAGCCCAGGCUGGCCUCAGAUUCAGGCUGGCCUUGCACUUGAGCUGCCAAAAUACGCACCAUGUGGCCCUGUGGAAUGUGGGAUCCAGCUCCAUAAUGCCUCAGAAUGCCUCAGAAAACUCCAGCUGGGGGCUGGAGAGAUGGCUCAGCAGUUUAGAGUACUGAUUGCUCUUCCAGAGGUCCUGAGUUCAAUUCCCAGCAACCACAUGGUGGCUCACAACCAGCUGUAAUGAGAUCUGACGCCCUCUUCUGGUGUGUCUAAAGACAGCUACAGUGUACUCAUAUAUAAAAUAAAUAAUUCUUUAAAAAAAAACAAAAAACUGCAGCUGGAUAAAACCUCAAGGGAACGUCUAUAGUGCUAGGAGCAUCUGUAGCAUGAGUGGUCUAGAAUCAGACAUUACUGCCCGGGGCAUGACCUGAGGACUUGCUGUUAGAGGUGAAAGCAAAAGCUAGGUGAGCUAGAAACUCAACAGCAUGUGCCAAGGCCCUGGGGUUGGAAAAAGCAAGGAGCACUGUGGAGCUGAUUGGGUUCUCCUAAGGUGAAAUGUGGAAGGCCAGACCUGGUGGCUUAGGCUUAAGGUAGAGGCAGGAGGAUAAGGUGGUCAGUUUCAUCUUGGCUACUUGUUUGAGGCCAGACGG
rnacentral:lncRNA from 1 species